GGUAUUCUAGAGGUGGUAUGUUAUAAAUUAUACUGUUGCAGGAUUUUGAGUGGAAACGUGACUUUUUAUACUAUACUUCCACUGGUGGAUGAACAUUGAAGAAAAACUGAUUUUGUUGAAUUCACCACAUACUGCUUACGUUCAACUUAGCAUUACAAAGCCUUUAUAUAGGCUAGAAGGAAACUGAUAGAGAAUACAAAUAGGUUGAUAACAAACCUACCAUAAACCUAAAUAAAGACAAUCAUUUGAUGAUGGUUACAAUUCUAUCAUAAUGCUUCCUAACGAUAGUGGCGGUUACAACACAUUAAUUUUAACACUCCCCCUUAAUGUGUUGCUCUUUAACUCCCAUUGCUUCUCUAAGUUGCUGAAAUCUUCCUCUUGGUAGUGCUUUAGUAAAAAUGUCUGCAAGCUGCUCUUGUGAAUUGCAGAACACUAACUGCACAUCGCCAUCUUCGAUCACACUUCGAAUGAAGUGGUGCUUUAUAUUAAUAUGUCUUGUUCGACUGUGGAAAACUGGAUUCUUCGCCAUGGCUAUUGCUGAUUUAUUGUCACAGUGAAGCAGCAGACUUUCUUCUUGCUUUUCUCCGAUAUCUUCAAGUAUUCUUCUCAACCACAAUGAUUGUUGUGUAGCCAAACCAGCUGCCAAAUAUUCUGCUUCAGCUGAAGAUUGCGCUACAGUGUCUUGUUUCUUUGAACACCAAGAAAUUACUCCUGAACCCAGACUGAACACAUAACCAGAAGUGCUUUUCAUGUCAUCAACACUUCCAGCCCAAUCACUGUCACAGUAGCCUUUAACUUCGAGUUUAGAAUUCUUUUAAAACCUGAUUCCAUGCUCCAUGGUUCCCAUGAUAUACCUUAGAACUCCUUUUGCUGCUCCAAGGUGUAAGUGACUCGGUUUACUCAUAAACCUUGAGAGUAAACUAGCAGCAAACAUUAAAUCGGGUCGUGUAGCUGUUAGAUAAAACAAACUUCCAACCAAACUUCUAUACAUGCUUGCAUCUACUAAUCUUCCACCAUCUUCCUUCUUUAAUUUUCCAUUCACCACUAAAGGAAUAUCAGCAGGUUUACAGCCAUUUAUGCCAAACUUUUUCAAGAUAUUUUCAGCAUAUCUCUUUUGACAAAUAAAAACUCCAUAUUCAUCUUGGUAAACCUCAAUACCAAGAAAAUGAUGCAGCAAGCCAAGAUCACUCAUCUCAUAUUUUUUCAUCAUUUCUAUUUUAAAAUUUUCAACCAUUUUCCUGUUGUUACCUGUAUACACCAAAUCAUCAACAUAAAGGGCAACAAGAAGGAUAUCAUCUUUACCUUGACGCUUCACAUACAAAGUAUGCUCACUUUGACUUCUUUCAAAUCCUUGUUGAAUGAAGUAGCUGUCAAUUUCACUAUACCAUGCUCUCGGGGCUUGUUUCAACCCAUAGAGAGCUUUCUUCAACUUGUAAACUUUUUCUUCUUGGCCUUUAGUCACAAAGCCUUGAGGUUGUUGCACAUAUACCUCUUCUUUUAGUUCUCCAUUCAGGAAAGCUGACUUCACAUCAAGUUGGUACAGGUCCCACUCUUUCUGAGCUGCUAAUGCAAUAACUGUUUGUACAGUAUCCAAUCUAGCAACUGGGGCAAAAGUUUCACUAUAGUCAAUUCCAGGCUGUUGUGCAUAACCUUUUACUACCAAUCUAGCCUUGGCUCUUUGAAUUGACCCAUCUGGAUUAUGCUUCAAUUUGUACACCCAUUUUACUCCAAUAGCUUCUUUGUCAUUUGGCCUUUCAACUAGCUGCCAUGUUUUGUUUUUCUCAAUAGCAUUUAUUUCUUCUUGCAUCGCAUUCCUCCAAGCAUCUUCUUUGAUUGCUUCAUCAAAAUUUUCUGGUUCCACAACACAAUAGUUGCAUCUUGCAUAAAUAUCACUCAAAUCCUUCAAUUUUAUUGGAGUUGAGCUGGGAGUUGAUGAACUUGAAUCUGGUGAACUUGGAGAGGAUGAGGAACUUGGUGUACAUGGGGUUGGUUGCUCAUUCUCAGCUGCUGAAUUUUGUUGUUGUAAUAUGAUUGCAGGGACUGUUUUCUCCUUCAUUUUGUCUUCUUCCCAAUUCCAAGAAGCAUUCUCAUCAAAUACAACAUCCCGGCUAAUGAUCACCUUGUUUGUCUUCAAGUUGUAAAGUCUAUAGCCCUUUGACAUGGAACUAUAGCCAAUAAAGACACAUUUUUCACUUGUUUCUUCCAGCUUUGUUCUCUUUUGUUUAGGAAUUUGAGCAUAGCAAACACAUCCAAAAAUUUGAAGAUGGUUCACCGACGGUGUUCUUCCACUCCAGGCUUCAAAUGGAGUCUUUUUCCACACGGCCUUUGUUGGACACCUGUUCAUCAAAUACACAGUAGUCUCAACGGCCUCGGGCCAAAAUGUUUUAGGCAGACCUUUCUCAAGUAGCAUAGACUUCGCCAUCUCCAUCACGGUUUGGUUCUUUCUUUCAGAUACACCAUUUUGCUGAGGUGUAUAUCCAACAGCGAGUUGUCUUUCAACACCUUCAUCUUCACAAAAUUUGUGAAAUUCAUUUGAGGUGUACUCCUUCCCUUGAUCAAUUCUCAGCAUCUUUAUAAAUCUGCCACUUUGUUUUUCAACUAAUGCUUUAAAUUUCUUAAAGAUUACAAAUGCUUCAGAUUUUUGUCUCAUGAAAUAUACCCAAGUCAUGCGGGUAAAGUCGUCAAUAAACAAGAUAAAGUACCUGUUUUUGCCAUGGGACAAAGUAUUCAUAGGACCACACACAUCUGUGUGUACAAGUUCCAACACUUGUUUAGCUCUCCAUUCACCUUCCUUUGGAAAUGGUUUCCGGUGGUGUUUGCCAAACACACAACCUUCACACACACCAGAUUUUUCUUCGAUUCUUGGCAGCCCAUACACCAUCUUUUUCUGAUAGAGUAACUUGAGGCUUUCGUAAUUCAAAUGCCCAAGUCUCCUGUGCCAUAAACACGAGUCAUUCUCUUCUCUGGCCAUCAUGCUUACAUUUUUCUCAUAGUCAAAAGAUAGUGGAAAGCUCCUGUUGCUAGUCAUCUUCACAAUGGCAACACUUCUUCUUUCUGAGUCAAAAAUUCUGCACUCUCUAUUUUCAAAGUUUAGAGAAUAGCCGUGCUCCAAAAGUUGUCCAACGCUAAGCAAAUUUUCGUCUAAUUCCGGGACAUAGAGCGUGUCAUGUAUGACUCUGCUUCCUUGCUUCGUGGUGACUCCAAUGCUUCCUUUCCCUUUCACUUCGACAUGUUCUCCAUUUCCCAAUUUAACUUUUGAGCCACAUGAAGAAUCAAUGUUUAUAAAUGCUCCCUUCUGUCCGGUCAUAUGGUUGCUACAGCCGCUGUCCAAAUACCAUACAUUUUUUUCUUCUUCAUGCAAUGCUUUUUGACAAGCAUAAAACAAAUUUCCUUCAUCAGAUUCUCCUUCUGCGUACGAAGCAUGUUGUUGCUUUGCAAGACGACAGUCCUUUUGAAGGUGCCCGAAUCUCUUGCAAUUGUGGCAUUGCGGUUUGCCUUUGUACCAACAGUCCUUCUCGUCAUGAGUGCCACUGUUACAAAUUUUGCACCAUUUGUUUGAUGCUUCAUUCCAUCUUCUGCCAUUUGCGCUUCUUCCAGAUCUGCCAUGUGAGUUUCGACCUCUGCCUCUGCCUCUUCCAAAUCUGCCACCUCUAGAAGACUCACCUCUAGUUUGUAUUUGGGGCUUAUUUUCACCAUUGUUGGGCUGAAUGUUGAGUUUAGAUUGAAAGGCACUCUCAAUUGAUUUUUCAGAAUGUCGUAACAUCCUUUGCUCGUAGGAUCUCAAAGACCCCAUCAACCCUUGAAUAGUCAAGGUUGAUAGAUCCUUGGUUUCUUCUAUCACACCCACCAUUGGGUCAAAUCUUGCUGUCAAACUGAUCAGAAUUUUGUCAACAAUUCUGCGAUCUUCUAUCGUAUCACCAUGUGACUUCAUCUGAUUCACCAACUCGGAGAGUCUGUUGAAGUAUUCGUUCAGGUUCUCGUUCUCCUUCAUCCUUUCAUUUUCAUAAUCUAUCUUAAGAGAUUGAAGCUUCACCGUUCUCACCUUUGAAUCUCCUUCGAACUCUUGUUGUAGGAUACUCCAGGCUUCUUUCGAUGUUUUAGCUCUCAUAAUCCUUGGGAAGAUGGAUAGAGAGACUCCUCUUUGAAUCAUCCCGAGAACUCCAGCAUCUGUGAUCUUCUUCUUCUUCAACUCUUCAGGUUGUUUGCUUGAUUCUUCAGCCUUUUCUUUUGAUAUUUCAGCCUCUGUUGGUGCCGGUUCUUCAUACCCGUUUUUGACAUACUCUAUAACAUCCAAAGAUGUGAAUAUAGUCUCCAUUUUAACAGCCCAAAAAUCAUAGUUCACUCCUUCAAAUAGAGGAACUUUGACAUUGCUGUAAGUUGCGGAAGGGUUGUUUGUGGAAGCCAUAACUUUUGUUGUUUUUGCUACAGCUGCAAGGAUCUGCAGCUCUGAUACCACUCUGUUGGUGGUAUUCUAGAGGUGGUAUGUUAUAAAUUAUACUAUUGCAGGAUUUUGAGUGGAAACGUGACUUUUUAUACUAUACUUCCACUGGUGGAUGAACAUUGAAGAAAAACUGAUUUUGUUGAAUUCACCACAUACUACUUACGUUCAACUUAGCAUUACAAAGCCUUUAUAUAGACUAGAAGGAAACUGAUAGAGAAUACAAAUAGGUUGAUAACAAACCUACCAUAAACCUAAAUAAAGACAAUCAUUAUGAUGAUGGUUACAAUUCUAUCAUAAUGUUUCCUAACGAUAGUGGCGGUUACAACACAUUAAUUUUAACAA
rnacentral:lncRNA from 1 species